AGAGGAGAUAUUCUACUGAGAGAGAGAUUAGAUUUCGAGGUUAAGGAAUUCUUUUCAUUCAGGGUUACAGCUAGCGAUGGUAGACAAAAUGCUACAGCCAGAGUAAACAUUACAGUCCUCAACAUAAACGACUGGGAUCCAAGG